UUAAACCGACACAGGUGGGUGAGUGUAAAUGCACUAAGGCGCGCGAGAGAGACCUCUCUAAGGAACUCGGCACAUUAGCCUCGUAACUUCGGGAAAAGAGGUGCUCACUUCGGUGAGCCACAGUAAAUUGCGUUUAGCGACUGUUUAACAAAAACACAGCACUCUGCUAAGUCGUUAAGACGACGUAUAGGGUGUGACACGUGACCAAUGCGGAAAGAUUAAGGCAUUUUGUUAGCCGCAAGGCGAAGCUCGGUGCCAAAGUCCCCGUGAAUGUCGGCCGUAACUAUAACGGUCCUAAGGUAGCGAAAUUCCUUGUCGGGUAAGUUCCGACCUGCACGAAUCGUGUAACGACUGAACGACUGUCUCGGAGAGGAUCUCGGCGAAACUGUAACUGCGGUGAAGAUGCCGCAUGCCCGCAGUAGGACGGAAAGACCCUAUGCACCUUUACUGUUAGCUGGUAUUGUGUUCUGAUUAAUAAUGCGUAGCGUAGGUGGGAGGCUUUGAAGUGAGUGCUUCGGUGCUCAUGGAGCCGCAAUGUGAAACACCACUCUUUGCUAAUUAGGAUUCUAACCUCGAUUCCUGUCAACCAGGCGAGGGACAGUGCUUGCGGGUCAGUUUGACUGGGGCGGUUUCCUCCCAAAGAGUAACGGAGGAGCGCGAAGCUUGGCUCAGCACGGUUGGCAACCGUGCGUCGAGCGUAUGGGUAUAAGCCAGGUUAACUGUGAGACCUACAAGUCGAGCAGAUGCGAAAGCAGGCCCAAAUGAUCCGAUGGUUUAAUGUGGAAUUGCCAUCGCUCAACGGACAAAAGGUACGCUAGGGAUAACAGGCUGAUCGGUUCCAAGAGUUCACAUCGACGAACCGGUUUGGCACCUCGAUGUCGGCUCAUCGCAUCCUGGGGCUGGAGAAGGUCCCAAGGGUCCGGCUGUUCGCCGGUUAAAGCGGUACGCGAGCUGGGUUCAGAACGUCGUGAGACAGUUCGGUCCUUAUCCACUGUGGGCGCAGGAAUCUUGAGGGGUUCAUUCUCUAGUACGAGAGGACCGAGAAUGACGCACUUCUGGUGUGGCAGUUGUUCCAUCAGGGGCAUCGCUGCGUAGCCAUGUGCGGAAGAGAUAAGCGCUGAAAGCAUCUAAGUGCCAAGCUCAUCCCAAGAUAUGGAUUCCCGGACGCAAGUCCCUAAAGACCCCCGGCAGACUACCGGGUUGAUAGGUCAGGCAUGUAAGCGUCGCGAGAUGUUUAGUGGACUGAUACUAAUUGGUCUGCGGCUUGAUCGC
rnacentral:rRNA from 1 species